rnacentral:rRNA from 1 species
UUGGAGGGCAAGUCUGGUGCCAGCAGCCGCGGUAAUUCCAGCUCCAAUAGCGUAUAUUAAAGUUGUUGCAGUUAAAAAGCUCGUAGUUGAACUUCGGGGUCUACCCAUUGGUCAGGCUUAAUUGUCUGCACUGGUGAGAUGGAUCUCUACCUUCUGAGGAACUUUCAUGCCAUUUAUUUAGUGUGAUGGGAAAUCAGGACUGUUACUUUGAAAAAAUUAGAGUGUUUAAAGCAGACUAUCGUCUGAAUACAUUAGCAUGGAAUAAUGAAAUAGGACGGACUGAUUCUAUUUCGUUGGUUUCUAGGAUCACCGUAAUGAUUAAUAGGGAUAGUUGGGGGCAUUAGUAUUCAAUUGUCAGAGGUGAAAUUCUUGGAUUUAUUGAAGACUAACUACUGCGAAAGCAUUUGCCAAGGAUGUUUUCAUUAAUCAAGAACGAAAGUUAGGGGAUCGAAGAUGAUCAGAUACCGUCGUAGUCUUAACCAUAAACUAUGCCGACUAGGGAUCGGAUGAUGUUAAUGUUUUAAUGACUCAUUCGGCGCCUUACGGGAAAC